UCUCCACUGAGGGACAGCUAGCAAUUUGC
rnacentral:sRNA from 1 species